rnacentral:rRNA from 1 species
CUACGGGUCGCUGCAGUGGGGAAUAUUGGACAGUGGGCGAAAGCCUGAUCCAGCAAUACCGCGUGUGUGAAGAAGGCCUGAGGGUUGUAAAGCACUUUCAAUAGGAAGGAAUACCUAUCGGUUAAUACCCGGUAGACUGACAUUACCUAUACAAGAAGCACCGGCUGACUCCGUGCCAGCAGCCGCGGUAAUACGGAGGGUGCAAGCGUUAAUCGGAAUUACUGGGCGUAAAGCGUGCGUAGGCGGUUAUUUAAGUCAGAUGUGAAAGCCCUGGGCUUAACCUGGGAACUGCAUUUGAUACUGGAUGACUAGAGUUGAGUAGAGGAGAGUGGAAUUUCAGGUGUAGCGGUGAAAUGCGUAGAGAUCUGAAGGAACACCAGUGGCGAAGGCGGCUCUCUGGACUCAAACUGACGCUGAGGUACGAAAGCGUGGGUAGCAAACAGGAUUGGAUACCCCGGUAGUC